rnacentral:rRNA from 1 species
UACGAAGGGGGGCUAGCGUUGCUCGGAAUCACUGGGCGUAAAGCGCACGUAGGCGGCUUUUUAAGUCAGGGGUGAAAUCCUGGAGCUCAACUCCAGAACUGCCUUUGAUACUGAGAAGCUUGAGUUCGGGAGAGGUGAGUGGAACUGCGAGUGUAGAGGUGAAAUUCGUAGAUAUUCGCAAGAACACCAGUGGCGAAGGCGGCUCACUGGCCCGAUACUGACGCUGAGGUGCGAAAGCGUGGGGAUCAAACAGG